UACAGAGGGGGCAAGCGUUAUUCGGAAUUAUUGGGCGUAAAGGGCGCGUAGGCGGCUUUGCAAGUGACGGGUGAAAUCCCUCGGCUUAACCGAGGAACUGCCUGUCAAACUGCAUGGCUUGAGACCGGGAGAGGUGAGUGGAAUUCCCAGUGUAGCGGUGAAAUGCGUAGAUAUUGGGAGGAACACCGGUGGCGAAGGCGGCUCACUGGACCGGUACUGACGCUGAUGCGCGAAAGCGUGGGGAGCAAACAGG
rnacentral:rRNA from 1 species